rnacentral:rRNA from 1 species
AGAGUUUGAUCCUGGCUCAGGAUUAACGCUGGCGGCGUGCCUUAUCAAUGCGAGUCGAACGGUACGGUGGGCUUCGGCCCACACGACCGUGGCAUCCGGGUGAGUAACACGUAGGUGACCUACCUCUCGGUGGGGGAUAACCCCGGGAAACCGGGGGCAAUACCGCAUACGAUCCAUCGGAUACGUCUGAUGGAUGAAAGAUUUAUUGCCGAGAGAGGGGCCUGCGGCCGAUUAGCUAGUUGGUGAGGUAAUGGCUCACCAAGGCGAUGAUCGGUAGCUGGUCUGAGAGGAUGAUCAGCCACACUGGGACUGAGACAUGGUCCAGAGCCCUACGGGGUUUAGCAUGAAGGAAUCUUGCGCAAUGGGGGAAACCCUGACGCAGCAACGCCGCGUGGGCGAUGAAGGCCCUCGGGUCGUAAAGCCCUUUUCUAGGUGAGGAAAAUGACAGUAGCCUAGGAAUAAGCCACGGCCAACUACGUGCCAGCAGCCGCGGCAAAACGUAGGUGGCGAGCGUUAUCCGGAAUUACUGGGCGUAAAGCGCACGUAGGCGGACCGGUAGGUUGUUCGUGAAAUGUCGAGGCCCAACCUCGGCACGCCGUGCAAAACCGCCGGUCUUGAGGCUGGGAGAGGGAAGCGGAACUUCCGGUGUAGUGGUGGAAUGCGUAGAUAUCGGAAGGAACACCAGCGGCGAAGGCGGCUUCUUGGCCCUGUCCUGACGCUGAGGUGCGAAAGCGUGGGGAGCGAACGGGAUUAGAUACCCCGGUAGUCCACGCUGUAAACGAUGGAUGCUAGGUGU